GUCUGUAGCCAUGCUACCCUGAACAAGCCCAAUCCCAUCUGAUCUCGGAAGCUAAGCAGGGUCAGUCCUGGUUAGUACUUGAAUGGGAGACCACCUAGGAAGACUAGGUGCUAUAGGUG
rnacentral:rRNA from 1 species